GCUAGUGUGACAGAGCCUGGUAAAAUGUAAAAGGCUUAAGCCCUUUAUCCAGAGGUUCAAAUCCUCUCACUAGCU
rnacentral:tRNA from 1 species